GAUGAACGCUGGCGGCGUGCCUAAUACAUGCAAGUCGAGCGAACAGACGAGGAGCUUGCUCCUCUGACGUUAGCGGCGGACGGGUGAGUAACACGUGUAUAACCUACCUAUAAGACUGGGAUAACUUCGGGAAACCGGCGCUAAUACCGGAUAAUAUAUUGAACCGCAUGGUUCAAUAGUGAAAGACGGUUUUGCUGUCACUUAUAGAUGGAUCCGCGCCGCAUUAGCUAGUUGUUAAGGUAACGGCUUACCAAGGCAACGAUGCGUAGCCGACCUGAGAGGGUGAUCGGCCACACUGGAACUGAGACACGGUCCAGACUCCUACGGGAGGCAGCAGUAGGGAAUCUUCCGCAAUGGGCGAAAGCCUGACGGAGCAACGCCGCGUGAGUGAUGAAGGUCUUCGGAUCGUAAAACUCUGUUAUUAGGGAAGAACAAAUGUGUAAGUAACUAUGCACGUCUUGACGGUACCUAAUCAGAAAGCCACGGCUAACUACGUG
rnacentral:rRNA from 1 species